rnacentral:rRNA from 1 species
ACGGGAGGCAGCAGUGAGGAAUAUUGGUCAAUGGGCGGAAGCCUGAACCAGCCAUGCCGCGUGAAGGAAUAAGGCCCUAUGGGUCGUAAACUUCUUUUGACGGGGAGCAAUAAGUUCUACGUGUAGAACGAUGAGAGUACUCGUCGAAUAAGCAUCGGCUAACUCCGUGCCAGCAGCCGCGGUAAUACGGGGGAUGCAAGCGUUAUCCGGAUUUAUUGGGUUUAAAGGGUGCGUAGGCUGUUUGUCAAGUCAGGGGUGAAAUGCCGCAGCUCAACUGUGGAAUUGCCUUUGAUACUGGCAGGCUUGAAUACUGUUGCCGUGGGAGGAAUGAGUAGUGUAGCGGUGAAAUGCAUAGAUAUUACUCAGAACACCGAUUGCGAAGGCAUCUCACGAAGCAGACAUUGACGCUGAGGCACGAAAGCGUGGGGAUCAAACAGGAUUAGAUACCCUGGUA